UAAGGAAUAUUGGUCAAUGGGCGGAAGCCUGAACCAGCCAUGCCGCGUGCAGGAAGACGGCCCUACGGGUUGUAAACUGCUUUUACAGGGGAAUAAACCUCGUUACGUGUAACGAGCUGAAUGUACUCUGAGAAUAAGGAUCGGCUAACUCCGUGCCAGCAGCCGCGGUAAUACGGAGGAUCCAAGCGUUAUCCGGAUUUAUUGGGUUUAAAGGGUGCGUAGGUGGCCUGUUAAGUCAGGGGUGAAAGACGGUAGCUCAACUAUCGCAGUGCCCUUGAUACUGAUGGGCUUGAAUAAACUAGAGGUAGGCGGAAUGUGACAAGUAGCGGUGAAAUGCAUAGAUAUGUCACAGAACACCAAUUGCGAAGGCAGCUUACUAUGGUUUUAUUGACACUGAGGCACGAAAGCGUGGGGAUCAAACA
rnacentral:rRNA from 1 species